rnacentral:rRNA from 1 species
UACAGAGGGUGCAAGCGUUGUCCGGAAUUACUGGGCGUAAAGAGCUCGUAGGCGGUUUGUCGCGUCUGUCGUGAAAGCUUGGGGCUUAACCCCAAGUCUGCGGUGGAUACGGGCAGACUAGAGGCAGGUAGGGGAGAACGGAAUUCCCGGUGUAGCGGUGAAAUGCGCAGAUAUCGGGAGGAACACCGGUGGCGAAGGCGGUUCUCUGGGCCUGUACUGACGCUGAGGAGCGAAAGCGUGGGGAGCGAACAGG